UACGGAGGAUGCAAGCGUUAUCCGGAUUUACUGGGUUUAAAGGGUGCGUAGGCGGAGCUUUAAGCGUGAGGUGAAAUGCCACGGCUCAACCGUGGAACUGCCUCGCGAACUGGAGUUCUUGAAUGCCCCUGCCGUGGGGGGAAUGUGUGGUGUAGCGGUGAAAUGCAUAGAGACCACACAGAACACCGAUUGCGAAGGCAUCUCACGAAGGGGUGAUUGACGCUGAGGCACGAAAGCGUGGGGAUCAAAC
rnacentral:rRNA from 1 species